rnacentral:rRNA from 1 species
UACGGAGGGGACUAGCGUUGUUCGGAAUUACUGGGCGUAAAGGGCACGUAGGCGGAUUUGUAAGUCAGGGGUGAAAUCCCGGGGCUCAACCUCGGAACUGCCUUUGAUACUGCAAAUCUCGAGUCCGGAAGAGGUGAGUGGAAUUCCUAGUGUAGAGGUGAAAUUCGUAGAUAUUAGGAAGAACACCAGUGGCGAAGGCGGCUCACUGGUCCGGUACUGACGCUGAGGUGCGAAAGCGUGGGGAGCAAACAGG